rnacentral:sRNA from 1 species
AUUUAUGUAGUUAAGUGCUCAUUUUCAGUUGACUUUGUAUACCCGGUACUCUUCAAAACAAGAAAUAUAGACUCUACUUUUGUUUUGUACAAAAUGGCGACUAAAGGUAUUGGAUUUGUUAGAAAAUUAUGGCAUGAGAAGCCUGAUAUUGCAGCUUCCUUGGUUGUUGCUUGCAUAGGUACAUUAGGACUGAUAAACUUUGCCUUCAGAUAUGAUCCAGAAACAGCGCAUCAACACAGAUAUGAAUAUACAGUAAUCAGAGAAGAAGAUGCAAAUCCAAGACUGAAACAGAAGGGCAUCUACAACUGAUGAAGUUAAAUAAUGUAUUCAUUAGCUUUCACUUAUUUAUAGAUGGAUUGAAUAUACUUUUUGAUUCAGUGUUGCAGUAGCAAUCCAUGGUCAUUAUGUCACAUUGAAAUGAACUGGAUUUUUACCAAGAAUACUAAUAAUUUCAAGCUGUGUCUGAAAUAGUGACUAAUAAAAUAAAUUUACUCCUAAUAUGCUUUCCCUAUUAAGUAGUACAGUUGAAUAAAAUAUGUUUGUUUUGUUUUAA